rnacentral:rRNA from 1 species
AGAGUACGUGAAACCGUUUAGGGGUAAACCUGAGAAACCCGAAAGGUCGAAGGGAGAAAUUCAUUCGCGUCUCGACGCAGGCGUGGGACGGAGUCCCGAGCGACGAAACGCCGUUUUUCGGAACGGGUCGGUUUCGCGCCCUCCGUUUUACGAACCGGCGGCGAACGCGUGCACUUUUCUCCUGGUAGGACGUCGCGAUCCGUUGGGCGUCGGUCUACGACUUGCGGUGGAGCCCGCCCGUUUCGUCUUCGUACGUGCGGACGGACCCGCUCGUUCCGGCCGACUCGCUCGACGGUAGAACCUAAGGUCGGAGGCCGCUUUCUUAAUAAGAGCGUUCGACUCGUCGCAAGCGCGCCACGUGCGUCGGCACGCGGACCCGGUGCCGCGUCCGUCCUCUGGUGACUGUUGGCGACGAAGUUCUCGGACAGACCUCUAUUUUUUCAUUUAUGGAAAAAUUUAAAGACCGAUCGGCGACGCUAUAGCUUUGGGUACUUUCAGGACCCGUCUUGAAACACGGACCAAGGAGUCUAGCAUGUGCGCAAGUCAUUGGGAACAUCACUAAACCUAAAGGCGUAAUGAAAGUGAAGGUCUUCCUCGCGAAGACCGAGGGAAGACGGACGAUCGCGCGCGAGAAAUCGCGCGUUUUCGUAUCGUCCUGCAUUCCCGGGGCGUCUCGUUCACAUCGCGUGAAGAGGCGCACCAAGAGCGUACACGCUGGGACCCGAAAGAUGGUGAACUAUGCCUGGUCAGGACGAAGUCAGGGGAAACCCUGAUGGAGGUCCGUAGCGAUUCU